rnacentral:lncRNA from 1 species
CCCCCGCAACCUCGUCGGGAACAGAAGGAGAACCUCAUCCUAACCUGAGCUGAGAUCGACUACAUUAAGGAUAGAAGGAGGACCUCAUCCUGACAAUGACAAAAAUCUGAUCGCCCAACAUGAUCGGAUAAAGGGAAAAGCCCCCUCAAUAGCACCUCCACACCUCUACGCGACCCCGCGAAAAGCAAGGGGAGGACCCUCACUUGGAAAGAGGAGGAAAAUUAAGAAGGAAAGCGAUGAAUUGCAUCAGCAACGGACGAAAAACAAACCACACCAA